GGGACAAUGGGUAUCGACACCGAAAGGUGAAGGCAAUCUCCUAAACCCAUCCGUAGUUCGGAUUGUGGGCUGCAACUCGCCCACAUGAAGCUGGAAUCUGUAGUAAUCGUGUCUCAAAAUGGCACGGUGAAUAUGUCCCUGCUCCUU
rnacentral:rRNA from 1 species